AGGAUUGAGGAGUUGGAAGAGACCUUUAAGACAGCUGGCCAUUAUGCCAACCAGGUGUCUGCACUAAGUUUCGUAUCAGUAUGGUAACCUCCUGGGAACAGGGGGCCAUCAGGUUGCCUAAGGAUGGAAGAACUGGAGCAGGUGAGAAUUCCUGCACCAAUCGGUAGUGGGAGUGUGCCUUGGCAAUACAGCAAGAUCUUGGUUCUU
rnacentral:sRNA from 1 species